AUCACUCUGCCUCUAGACAUGCUUGGGGGUUUUGUGACCAAAGUGCAAGGCUGGCACUUUGAUGUAUUAAAGCUCACACACUUGGCCUCAGCCCACUGAUCCAGCCUGUCCAGAUCCCUCUGUGGAACCUUCCGACCCUCCAGCAGAUCAACAGCUCCACCCAUUUGGUCUCAUCUACCAUCUGAGGGUAUAUUCAAUUCCCUCAUCCAUAUAAUUGAUUAAGAUAUUAGACAUGACUAGACCCAAUACGGGUCCAUGAGGGACACCACUAGCAACUGGCCACCAACAGGAUUUAACUCCAUUUACCACCACUCGCUGGGCCUGGACACCCAGACAAUUUUUUAGCUGCUGCACCCGUCCAAGCCAAGAACAGCCAAUUUCCCCACGAGAAUGCUAUGGGAAGCGGUGUCAAAGGCAUUAGCAAAGUCCAGCGCAUAUCACAAGGAAAAAAUGGAAGGAAAAAAUCUUGACUAUGGUCAUCAGCAAAGCUACUGUAGGGGUCAUGGAGGAAAGACCUUUAGGCUUGCAGAACAUUUGGCUGCUGGAAAUAAUUUGGUAGUCUUCCUUAACUUCAUCAGCAAAAAGAAAAACUAGUCAAUGAAGAACAAGAGUGGCCAAUGAAGAACAAGAGUGUUAUUGUUUAGGUUUUUUUUCUUUUUCCCAUGACACUGGUAGCACCUUUUUUUUAAAUUAAAUUCAAACUAGGCCAAAAGGAGAAGUAGAGUUUAGAAAAGAUCCUGGACAAAUUGUAUUUGUCCUCUUACAUAUGUCUAAAUUUUAGUUUUAUGUGAAAUAGGUUUUCUGGUUUAUUUGUAAGUUCCUCUCAGAAAUAGUAAUUGUUCACAUGCUCGCAUAGGAAAUGGUAGUAUGCAACUUUGCAGUAAUUUCUGAUAAUCAUAAAAAAAUUAAACAUAAAACCACUUGA